ACUAUAUCUAUAAAAUAAUGCUAAAAAUCAGAAAAAAGAGGAGCUAACGACGAGAGAGCCGCAACAGUACCAAGAGACCCCCCUACCCCCUCAGCUUUUUCUUCUCACCUCCAAGAGCAGAAGAAAUAGAGAUUUUCUUCCUCUAACGACACAAACCCCCUUCGGACCUUCCCCUGGCUCGUCUUCUCCAAAAACCCCUGCUCUCAUCGUUACCCCCGGAAACCAACACCCACAAGCCCCUAUUUAAUCCAAGUUCAUCGGAAUUCCGCCAUAGCCAUCGAUCCAAACCAACGACCCCUGUUUUCUUCAUACACAACCACUCUUUAACUCCAAAAUUCCAGUCACUGAACAACGCACACAGUCACACACGGACAAAACAAGGCAGAAAAGAACAAUUCUGCUACUCUUGAGUGCUUAUUCGAGGUUUGUUUCGAUCGAAUUUGGAUUGGUCGAGUUCCCAUUUCGGUUCGGUUGCUGUUUUCCGUCGAGUUCCCGUUCCCUAAUUCUAUUGGUAUUUUCCAUCGAGGUCUGUCAUCAUUUUGAUCUUUGGUUGCUCAGUUUGUCUUUUAUGAUGUUAGGGUGUUAGACUUAUGUAAAUUCCAUGCCCAUUUGUGAUACCUAGAAUUGAAAUAUGAUUUUGGAAUGAAAUUUGAUUGCAUGAUUCAAUGGGAAGUUACUGAAACGUUCAUGUAACAAUUUACACAAUUAUUUAUUGAUGAACUCGUUGGAUUUCUGUUCUAUUUUGGGCUGAGUUGAACGCAUCUUGUUUUAUUGUUGGAAAAUGUUUGCAAAUUUGAAUCUACAUGUGAUUGAUUAUUUGUUGAUAAGAGUAAUUCCAUAGCUUAGAAUUAAAUGUUAGAUCCUAAUAUCAUUCUACUAGCUUGGGUUGUUAUGCGGAAGUUCUGUUUUCUAAGUUUUCAAUUUAUAUCUUCGUAAAUUAAUUUGAUUAAGUAGGAUGUCUUUUUCUUUUAAAGAUAAGUAGGAAUAGAAAAUCGCAGUCACUGUUAGGUUAGCCUUUUAACAAAAAAUGAGACGAGC
rnacentral:lncRNA from 1 species